GCACUGCUGAGGAGUUCCGCAAUAGGACGAAACGGCCGUCCAGUGC
rfam:Schistosoma rodhaini strain Burundi genome assembly, scaffold: SROB_scaffold0007400